rnacentral:rRNA from 1 species
CCUACGGGAGGCAGCAGUGGGGAAUUUUGGACAAUGGGCGCAAGCCUGAUCCAGCCAUGCCGCGUGUGGGAAGAAGGCCUUCGGGUUGUAAACCACUUUUGUCAGGGAAGAAACGGCUUUUUCUAAUACAGAGAGCUAAUGACGGUACCUGAAGAAUAAGCACCGGCUAACUACGUGCCAGCAGCCGCGGUAAUACGUAGGGUGCAAGCGUUAAUCGGAAUUACUGGGCGUAAAGCGUGCGCAGGCGGCUUUGCAAGACAGAUGUGAAAUCCCCGGGCUCAACCUGGGAACUGCAUUUGUGACUGCAUGGCUAGAGUACGGUAGAGGGGGAUGGAAUUCCGCGUGUAGCAGUGAAAUGCGUAGAUAUGCGGAGGAACACCGAUGGCGAAGGCAAUCCCCUGGACCUGUACUGACGCUCAUGCACGAAAGCGUGGGGAGCAAACAGGAUUAGAUACCCUGGUAGUCCACGCCCUAAACGAUGUCAACUGGUUGUUGGACGGCCUGCUGUUCUAGUAACGAAGACUACGCGUGAGUAGACCGCCGUCGGGAGGUACGGCCGCGAGGUAGAACGUACGAACGGAAGUUAGUACGGCGUAGAGACGUUAGCCGACGGACGACGACGAGGGAGGAGG